rnacentral:rRNA from 1 species
CGGUCCCUAUCCGUCGCGGGCGCAGGAAAUUUGAGAGGAGCUGUCCUUAGUACGAGAGGACCGGGAUGGACGCACCGCUGGUGUACCAGUUGUUCUGCCAAGGGCAUCGCUGGGUAGCUAUGUGCGGACGGGAUAAGUGCUGAAAGCAUCUAAGCAUGAAGCCCCCCUCAAGAUGAGAUUUCCCAUUCCUAUAAGGAAGUAAGAUCCCUGAAAGAUGAUCAGGUUGAUAGGUCUGAGGUGGAAGUGUGGCGAC